CUCUCCCUCUUUCUUCGUGCCUAACACAUGCAAGUCGAACGUGAAAGGGAGCAAUCCCAAGUAAAGUGGCGUCCGGGUGAGUAACACGUAGGUAAUCUACCCCAGAAUCUGGAAUAACCGGCCGAAAGGCUGGCUAAUACUGGAUAGAGCGACGGAAUCCGUAAUUGGGUUUUUCGGGAAAGGGAGCCUGUAAAACGGCCUUCGUUCUGGGAUGAGCCUGCGUCCCAUCAGCUAGUUGGUGAGGUAAAAGCUUACCAAGGCAAUGACGGGUAGCUGGUCUGAGAGGACGAUCAGCCACACUGGAACUGAAACACGGUCCAGACUCCUACGGGAGGCAGCAGUGGGGAAUCUUGCGCAAUGGACGAAAGUCUGACGCAGCAACGCCGCGUGAGUGAAGAAGGCCUUCGGGUUGUAAAGCUCUGUCGAGUGGGACGAAAAUGCUUGGAGUUCACAGCUCCAGGAACUGACGGUACCACUAAAGGAAGCACCGGCUAACUCCGUG
rnacentral:rRNA from 1 species